CAUAACAAACCUCUCCCCAAACGUGGUGGCUGAAGCAACUUCCUCUCGUGUCUGCUGACUCCCCUGCCCUACUGGCUCAGCUGGAUGGUUCUCGCUCAGCAUUUCUCCUGUGCUUGCACAGGAGAUGCUGGCAUUCUGAUGGUGCCUGGGGCUGAAGUCUUUACAGGGCUGGAGGUUCAAGAUGACUGACUCACAUGGCGGCCAGUUGGCUUCGAGCUCAGUGGGGGCUGAGCCUGGUCUCCUCACCUGUAACAUGGGGAUGGCAACACCUGCCUUACAGAGUUGCCGUGAGGAUGCGAUGAUCCAAAUGAACACGUCACUAGCUGUGUGAACUUGGCUGCAUUGUCUAGCUUGAAAGAAGCUGAAAAAGAUGAAACUGAUAUCAGAGAAUCCUCGGCCUCAUGGAAAAGGAAUAUACUCUGAAAAAAAAACAGAUGAAGUUGUAAAUAAAAAAUGAAAAUAGGAAAA